AUUCCGGUUGAUCCUGCCGGAGGCCAUUGCUAUCGGAGUCCGAUUUAGCCAUGCUAGUUGCACGAGUUCACACUCGUAGCAUAUAGCUCAGUAACACGUGGUCAAGCUACCCUGCAGACACGGACAACCUCGGGAAACUGAGGCUAAUCCGCGAUACCGAUCCCACGCUGGAAUGCCGGGAUCCACAAACGCUCCGGCGCUGCAGGAUGCGGCUGCGGCCGAUUAGGUAGACGGUGGGGUAACGGCCCACCGUGCCGAUAAUCGGUACAGGUUGUGAGAGCAAGAGCCCGGAGACGGAAUCUGAGACAAGAUUCCGGGCCCUACGGGGCGCAGCAGGCGCGAAACCUUUACACUGCACGCAAGUGCGAUAAGGGGACUCCGAGUGCGAGGGCAUAUAGUCCUCGCUUUUGAGAACCGUAAGGCGGUUCUCGAAUAAGAGCUGGGCAAGACCGGUGCCAGCCGCCGCGGUAAUACCGGCAGCUCAAGUGAUGGCCAAUCUUAUUGGGCCUAAAGCGUCCGUAGCUGGCCACGAAAGUCCGUCGGGAAAUCCAUCUGCCCAACAGAUGGGCGUCCGGUGGACACGACUACAGUCCAACACGUGAGACUGAAAGGUCCGUCCGCGGUAGACUGAAAUCCGUAAUCCGUAGACGGACCGCCGAUGGCGAAAGCACGUCGAGAAGACCGGAUCCCGGCGUGAUGUUGACGUGGCAGGGUCUCGAACCGUUAGCGGGGAGUUUCGCACUUUCCGCCGUACCCACGCUUUGUCUCUUGGCCGCCAAAACACCUGACCUGCUCGUGGACGACGUGGCAGUCGAUGGGAAUGUACGCGCAGGGAUCGAGAACUUAAAGGAAUUGGCGGGGGAGCACCACAACCGGAGGAGCCUGCGGUUUAAUUGGACUCAACGCCGGACAUCUCACCAGCUCCGACUACAGUAAUGACGAUCAGGUUGAUGACCUUAUCACGAGCUGUAGAGAGGAGGUGCAUGGCCGCCGUCAGCUCGUACCGUGAGGCGUCCUGUUAAGUCAGGCAACGAGCGAGACCCACACAUCUAAUUGCCAGCAGCAGUUCCGACUGGCUGGGUACAUUAGAUGGACUGCCAGUGCCAAACUGGAGGAAGGAAUGGGCAACGGUAGGUCAGUAUGCCCCGAAUGAGCUGGGCUACACGCGGGCUACAAUGGCCAGAACAAUGGGUUGCAAUCUCGAAAGAGAACGCUAAUCUCCUAAAUCUGGUCGUAGUUCGGAUUGAGGGCUGAAACUCGCCCUCAUGAAGCUGGAUUCGGUAGUAAUCGCAUUUCACAAGAGUGCGGUGAAUACGUCCCUGCUCCUUGCACACACCGCCCGUCAAAGCACCCGAGUGAGGUCCGGAUGAGGCUAUCGCAAGAUAGUCGAAUCUGGGCUUCGCAAGGGGGCUUAAGUCGUAACAAGGUAGCCGUAGGGGAAUCUGCGGCUGGAUCACCUCCUAACGAACGG
rnacentral:rRNA from 1 species